UUGUAGUCAUAAUCUGUUUUCAAAAAUAAACCCACCCAUUUUUAGUAUAAACCACUUUUUACAGUGAACUCGAAAAGGUCUUAAAACCACUAUUAUUGUUUUUGUUGUAGCCCCUCUACAGGGAUACCCGUGGUAAUUCUAGAGCUAAUACAUGCCAAAAACCCCGCCUCCGGGAGGGGUGUGUUUAUUAGAUAAAAAACCAACGCCCUUCGGGGCUCGCUGGUGAAUCAUGAUAACCUCACGAAUCGCAUGGCCUUGCGCCGGCGAUGGUUCAUUCAAAUUUCUGCCCUAUCAACUUCGAUGUAGAUAGCGGC
rnacentral:rRNA from 1 species